rnacentral:rRNA from 1 species
CCUACGGGUGACAGCAGUGAGGAAUAUUGGUCAAUGGGCGAGAGCCUGAACCAGCCAAGUAGCGUGAAGGAUGACGGCCCUAUGGGUUGUAAACUUCUUUUAUAAAGGAAUAAAGUGAGGCACGUGUGCCUUUUUGUAUGUACUUUAUGAAUAAGCAUCGGCUAACUCCGUGCCAGCAGCCGCGGUAAUACGGAGGAUGCGAGCGUUAUCCGGAUUUAUUGGGUUUAAAGGGAGCGUAGGUGGUUUGUUAAGUCAGUUGUGAAAGUUUGCGGCUCAACCGUAAAAUUGCCAUUGAUACUGGCAGUCUUGAGUACAGUUGAGGUAGGCGGAAUGCGUGGUGUAGCGGUGAAAUGCAUAGAUAUCACGCAGAACUCCGAUUGCGAAGGCAGCUUACUAAACUGUCACUGACAUUGAUGCUCGAAAGUGUGGGUAUCAAACAGGAUUAGAUACCCUUGUAGUC